rnacentral:ncRNA from 1 species
CGAGACGAGUGAGGGAGUUCAAGCGGAGUAGCCGACUUCAGCGAGAGACGUACGGUCUCCGCUGGUGCCGACAUCGACGCUCGGACUGAGAGGCCGAAAAGGUUGCUUCGACAGGACCCGACGGCGACCCCCAGCACCUGAUCCGGACAAUACCGGCGAAGGGAACCCGCCUCGUAGGUCG